GAUGAACGCUGACAGAAUGCUUAACACAUGCAAGUCUUUGGCGAAUCUGUGCUUGCACAGGCUAGCCAAGGCGGACGGGUGAGUAACGCGUAAAGAACUUGCCCUGCAGACAGGGAUAACAGACGGAAACGACUGACAACACCUGAUACAGUUGCCGGCACGCAUGUGCCUGGCAAUGAAAAGAGAUGCUGCGGGAGAGCUUUGCGUCCUAUUAGCUUGUUGGCGGGGUAACGGCCCACCAAGGCGAUGAUAGGUAGCCGGCCUGAGAGGGUGAACGGCCACAAGGGGACUGAGAUACGGCCCUUACUCCUACGGGAGGCAGCAGUGGGGAAUAUUGGACAAUGGGGGCAACCCUGAUCCAGCAAUUCUGUGUGCACGAUGAAGGUUUUCGGAUUGUAAAGUGCUUUCAGCAGGGAAGAAGGAAGUGACGGACCUGCAGAAGAGCG
rnacentral:rRNA from 1 species